GAUGAACGCUGGCGGCGUGCCUAAUACAUGCAAGUCGAGCGAACAGACGAGGAGCUUGCUCCUCUGACGUUAGCGGCGGACGGGUGAGUAACACGUGGAUAACCUACCUAUAAGACUGGGAUAACUUCGGGAAACCGGAGCUAAUACCGGAUAAUAUAUUGAACCGCAUGGUUCAAUAGUGAAAGACGGUUUUGCUGUCACUUAUAGAUGGAUCCGCGCCGCAUUAGCUAGUUGGUAAGGUAACGGCUUACCAAGGCAACGAUACGUAGCCGACCUGAGAGGGUGAUCGGCCACACUGGAACUGAGACACGGUCCAGACUCCUACGGGAGGCAGCAGUAGGGAAUCUUCCGCAAUGGGCGAAAGCCUGACGGAGCAACGCCGCGUGAGUGAUGAAGGUCUUCGGAUCGUAAAACUCUGUUAUUAGGGAAGAACAAAUGUGUAGGUAACUAUGCACGUCUUGACGGUACCUAAUCAGAAAGCCACGGCUAACUACGUG
rnacentral:rRNA from 1 species